rnacentral:rRNA from 1 species
UACGUAGGGUCCGAGCGUUGUCCGGAAUUAUUGGGCGUAAAGGGCUCGUAGGCGGUCUGUUGCGUCGGGAGUGAAAACUUACAGCUUAACUGUGAGCGUGCUUCCGAUACGGGCAGACUUGAGGUAUUCAGGGGAGAACGGAAUUCCUGGUGUAGCGGUGAAAUGCGCAGAUAUCAGGAGGAACACCGGUGGCGAAGGCGGAUCUCUGGGCCUUACCUGACGCUCAGGUGCAAAAGCUAGGGGAGCGAACAGG